rnacentral:tRNA from 7 species
CGCGGGGUGGAGCAGCCCGGUAGCUCGCGAGGCUCAUAACCUCGAGGUCGCAGGUUCGAAUCCUGUCCCCGCAA